GAUGAAGAACGCAGCGAAUUGCGAUAAGUAAUGUGAAUUGCAGAUUUUCAGUGAAUCAUCGAAUCUUUGAACGCACAUUGCGCCCUGUGGUAUUCCGCAGGGCAUGCCUGUUCGAGCGUCAUUUCAACCCUCAAGCCCCGCUUGGUGUUGGGCCCCGCCCGCUGUGGCCGGCCCUAAAGACAGUGGCGGCGCCGCCUGGCCCUCAGCGUAGUACAUCUCUCGCUCCAGGGUCCGGUGGCCGCCUGCCAGAACCCCCCAACUCUGUGGUUGACCUCGGAUCAGGUAGGGAUACCCGCUGAACUUAAGCAUAUCAAUAAGCGGAGGA
rnacentral:misc_RNA from 1 species